GUAACAUUGCUAUGCCAGAGACUUCUGAAAAUUAUCCAGGGUCUUCGGCCAGAAUGUACGUCGGAAUAGACUGGCCAGCUAAUUUUCGUCGAGACCUAGGGUUUCCCCUAAGGUGUCAUCACAUUUCGCCUCUACAAGCCCUCUAUAGAAGAAUGCGGUGGAGCCCCCACCGCAGGCAUUGCACCAGCGACGGAAUAGCAAGAGUGCUUUGCGACACUCCGUGUACCAUGUACCCAACUUCGAUCUUCGAUUCAACCAGGUUUCCAAUCCACCGAAACUAGUGAACUUGGAAAACAUCUGUUUCGCCAGCGGAGACCACACCCGUUCACCAUCCACACGUAAACCUGUAUGUAGUAAUACCUUUCUACAGAAUUCAGCAGUUUCCUUCCUUCAUUUUCACGAGUUCUUCAGCUUUUUUUUAUUAGUUUGCUUUUUGCUUGUUGGUGAUGACAAUAUAUAUGUCAACAAGAAACAGAUAGCCAAAUAAAUGCCUCUUCAUCUAAUUAGUGACGUGCAUGAACGGAUGAACCAGAUUCCCACUGUCCCUAUCUACUGUCUAGCGAAACCACAGCCAAGGGAA
rnacentral:ncRNA from 1 species